ensembl:snRNA U1 U1 spliceosomal RNA
AUACUUACCUGGCAGGGGAGAUACCAUAAUCACGAAGGUAGUUUUCCCAGGGAGAGACUUGCACUAUGGAUGUGCUGACCCCUGCGAUUUCGCCAAAUGCGGGAAACCUGACUGCAUAAUUUGUGGUGGUGGUGAACUGUGUCGGUGCUCUCCCCUG